AGAGAGAGAAUCCUUUCUGCCUGUCACUGAGGUGCUCUCCUCCUCCACUGCUCCUGAAUCAGUAUGUAAAAGCAUGAGAUGCUUUGUGUAAUACCUGAACCCGGACAUAGACAACGACAUCCACGGGGAAUGACGAAUAUGAAGAGGUCGAGGACGACACCAAAGAGACCUGAGACUCCUCCAGUGGAUCUACAGAGUCGAAAUGUCCGACGUCCUCCUCAGAAGAAGAGGUGGACAGGUCAUCACGGCGACCGUCAUCAGGCUGGAAGGGAAUGCUGGGUGAGAAGACUUCAGGUGUGCCAGGUGCACUGAACACUGAGCAUGAUGGGCAAUGGGGAGCAUGAUCAUCAAUGCUGACAGACAACAAGUCCACCUCUGUCUCCUCUGGGAACUUUAACAGCCAGUGAGAGUCAACAGUUAGAGAAUUUAUCUACACAUCUCAGUCUAUCUAUCUGUAUAUCUACUAUCUAAUGAUUUUUAGGAAUUUUGUCAAGUCUGUUUUACUGAUCCAGCUGUAAUUUACAGAUCUUUCCAUAAGGUUUCACCUGGUAGUAUAUGCUGAGCCAAUUGUUUCUUACCUAGCAUAAUAAAUUAAAAGCUGUCUAAAAAACUUGAAUAACCUGUAUAUAUGCACUAAAACGCAUCUAUCUAUUAUAUCCAAGUGUCAACCAGGGCUGCAACAAAUAAAUGAUUGCUUUAAAAAACAGCACAACAAGGAGUCCACUACAGCACUAAGCCAAG